rnacentral:rRNA from 1 species
AGUCGAACGCGGACUUCGGUCCGAGUGGCGAACGGGUGCGUAACACGUAGGUGACCUGCCCACCGGUGGGGGAUAACCGCGAGAAAUCGUGGCUAAUACCGCAUGAGAUCGUGCUGUUUUGAAAGGCACGAGGAAAGCUUGAUGCGCCGGUGGAGGGGCCUGCGGCCUAUCAGCUAGUUGGUGAGGUAACGGCUCACCAAGGCGAUGACGGGUAGCUGACCUGAGAGGGUGGUCAGCCACAGGGGAACUGAGAGACGGUCCCCACUCCUACGGGAGGCAGCAGUGAGGAAUAUUGGGCAAUGGGGGCAACCCUGACCCAGCAAUGCCGCGUGCGGGAUGAAGGCCUUCGGGUUGUAAACCGCUUUUCUGGGGGAGCAGAACAAGGAGCGUACCUCAGGAAUAAGUCACGGCUAACUACGUGCCAGCAGCCGCGGUAAUACGUAGGUGGCGAACGUUAUCCGGAAUAACUGGGCGUAAAGGGUCCGUAGGCGGCCUUGAAGGUCUGGCGUGAAAGCCCUCGGCUAAACUGAGGGAGUGCGUUGGAAACCGCGAGGCUAGCAUCACGCAGGGGCUGGUGGAAUUCCCGGUGUAGUGGUGGAAUGCGUAGAGAUCGGGAGGAACCUCUAGAGCGAAGGCAACCGGCUAGGCGAUGAUGGACGCUGAGGGACGAAAGCGUGGGGAGCGAACAGGAUUAGAUACCCUGGUAGUCCACGCUGUAAACGAUGUGUGCUAGAUGUCUGGGCCGUAGGGUCUGGGUGUCGUAGCCAACGCGAUAAGCACACCGCCUGGGGAGUACGGCCGCAAGGCUAAAACCCAAAGGAAUUGAC